rnacentral:SRP_RNA from 1 species
GCUGGGCAUGGUGGCGCAUGCCUGUAAUCCCAGCUACUCAGGAGGCUGAGGUAGGAGAAUCGCUUGAACCCAGGAUGUGGAGGUUGCAGUGAGCCAAGAUCACGCGACUGCACUCCAGCCUGGGUGACAGAGCGACAAUCUGUCUCAA